UACGUAGGGUGCAAGCGUUGUCCGGAAUUAUUGGGCGUAAAGAGCUCGUAGGCGGUCUGUCGCGUCUGCUGUGAAAACACGGGGCUUAACCCCGGGCCUGCAGUGGGUACGGGCAGACUAGAGUGCGGUAGGGGAGACUGGAAUUCCUGGUGUAGCGGUGAAAUGCGCAGAUAUCAGGAGGAACACCGGCGGCGAAGGCGGGUCUCUGGGCCGUAACUGACGCUGAGGAGCGAAAGCGUGGGGAGCGAACAGG
rnacentral:rRNA from 1 species